ACAAGCCCCGCCCCCAGCCUCUGGGCCUCUGGGCUCUGCCCCUAGCGCUCUGCAGCGGUGGGCGCCGCGGCGCCGCGGGGACGUGACGUUGGGAUCUGGCGUCUCCGAGUGCGACAGAUACUUGCGGCUUCCAUAGGCACCCUCCUCGGGGUGGAUUGGUUCUGAGACUCCGACAGAUUCCCGCUAGUGCGGGCGCCUGGGAAAGGCCAGGGUUCCUGCGGGACCCUGCUCAGGGGGUGGCACGCGGGGUUUCCUGCAAGCUGCUCUUUCCUCGUGACUUUCGGUCUAGACCCAGCUAGUUUUGAAGUCUUACUCCCCGAGCUGUACCUGGGAGGCCUGGGGCUGAAGCUGAUAACUGGAUUGCUCUCUCUGGCAACUUUCCCCCAUAAACCUGGCAGCAAGUAGUGCACCCAGUACUUAAGAGCACUUAAGAGCGUGAUAAGACUACAUUCAGUCCCGUGGGGGAAUGAGAGAGGCCCAGGCUGACAUCUGCCCUGAAGUUCUUCAUCUCCUAUUCCAACAGGAAGAGAAAUCACUGAAAAGCUCCCAGAACAAGGCCUAGAACAAGCUUGCAAGUCCUAGUUGCAAAAACUUUAUUUUUCAUUUUAGAAAUUGAUUUUCUCUCCGUAUUCCUCCCCUGGCUUGCUAUAAUGGUAUGCCUACCUACCCCUUUGUGACUCUCCAGUCUCCCCAAAUAGUCUAUCAGCUUCAAAAUGAAAAUUUAACACCCCAUGGAGGUCUCAGUUUGAGAGCCACUGCUUAUCUCAUCCCUUCUCGCUGACCGAUUUUCAUUUAAGUUUUACUCUCUUAAUCUCUGCACUGCCAUGAAGGUUUCAUAUAUGGUAUCCUUCUCUCUCAGAAUAUGGAAUCUUAGACCCAGAAGUUUUGGUGUCAGGCAGUGAGCAAUGCCAGCUUGAUUGAGACAUGGUCCUUGAAGACCAGAGUGGAAACCAGCAUGUCAAUGGGAAAGAAGACAGUUGCGAAAGUUGGAUGAAAGAAUACCUCUUGGAUGCCCAGAGUGCACUCAGCACUGAUGGAUAUGAAAGAAGCAAGUACCCUGGCUUGGUCCUCCAGGCAGCUGACUCCUGAUGUGAAGAUGAGACAGCAUGAGACCUUGCCAGGCUGCUGUGAAAUUGAAUGCUAGACUAUGUCAUGCCCUUCUUUGCCCUCAGUGUUCAUGGAAACGGGGGCCAUGCCAGCUGCAUCAGCUAAGGGGGGGAGGAUGCAUGAAAGUGUCUGGAGCAAAGCCUUGAAGGAUACGCAGGAUUUGGAGAAGUGGUAGGUGAAGAGAGCAUUCUGGGUCAGGGGGACGACCUGAACACCUAGGACAAGGGCUCAGUAAAUAUUUGCUGGACAAAUUGAUGAAUGAAUAAAUGAGCAAAUAACAAUGAAAUUAUUGGCAUACAGUAUAAUCAACCUGAUGGGUGCUUUGUUGGAUGAAUGAAUGAAUGAUUGAAUGAUUAUAUAUAAGCAAAGACAAUGAAAUUAGAGAAUGGUAGGCUGGUUUAGUUAAGACCAGCCUAACUAGUCUAUAGAAAUUGGAGAGCUGUGAGACAUAACAUAGAAACGGAGCAGACUAUGGAAGAGCUUUUAAGAUGGAAGAAUCUUCUGGUAGGAGCAUGGGGUCUGGAUCCAGAGUGACAAGAUGGCAUUCAGACUCCUUCACUUAUUGAGUGACCUUGAAUGAGUUCU